GGACGAAAUSUGAUCCAGCCAUGCCGCGUGCAGGAUGAAAGCCCUACGGGUUGUAAACUGCUUUUAUACAGGAAGAARCASUCCGACGUGUCGGAGCUUGACGGUACUGUAAGAAUAAGGAUCGGCUAACUCCGUGCCAGCAGCCGCGGUAAUACGGAGGAUCCAAGCGUUAUCCGGAAUCAUUGGGUUUAAAGGGUCCGCAGGCUGUUUUUUAAGUCAGAGGUGAAAUCCUACAGCUCAACUGUAGAACUGCCUUUGAUACUGAAAAACUUGAGUUAUUGUGAAGUGGUUAGAAUGUGUGGUGUAGCGGUGAAAUGCAUAGAUAUCACACAGAAUACCGAUUGCGAAGGCAGAUCACUAACAAUAUACUGACGCUCAUGGACGAAAGCGUGGGGAGCGAACAGGAUUAGAUACCCUGGUAGUCCACGCCGUAAACGAUGGAUACUAGCUGUUCGUCUAACAUUGGUUAGAUGAGUGGCUAAGCGAAAGUGAUAAGUAUCCCACCUGGGGAGUACGGUCGCAAGACUGAA
rnacentral:rRNA from 1 species